UUAAAAUCUGGCGGUCUCAGAUCGUCCGAGUUGUAGUCUAGAGAAGCGUUUUCCGUGCUGGCCUGUGUACAAGUCCGUUGGAACACGGCGUCAUAGAGGGUGAGAAUCCCGUCCUUGACACAGAUCUCCAGUGCUUUGUGAUGCGCUCUCAAAGAGUCGAGUUGUUUGGGAAUGCAGCUCAAAAUGGGUGGUAAAUUCCAUCUAAAGCUAAAUAUUGGCGAGAAACCGAUAGCGAACAAGUACCGUGAGGGAAAGAUGAAAAGCACUUUGGAAAGAGAGUUAAACAGUACGUGAAAUUGUUGAAAGGGAAACGAUUGAAGUCAGUCAUGCUUUCCGAGACUCAGCCGGCUCUGCCGGUGUACUUCUCGGUUUGCAGGCCAGCAUCAGUUUUGGGCGGUGGAAAAGGUUGGCGGGAAUGUGGCAUCCUCGGAUGUGUUAUAGCCCGCUUUCGAAUACAUCGCCCGGGACUGAGGAACGCAGCACGCCUCUUGUAGGUCGGUCUUCGGACACGUCCGUGCUUAGGAUGCUGGCAUAAUGGCUUUAAACGACCCGUCUUGAAACACGGACCAAGGAGUCUAACAUGUUUGCGAGUGUUUGGGUGGAAAACCCGAGCGCGUAAUUAAAGUGAAUGCAGGUGGGAUGCGCAAGCAGCACCAUCGACCGAUCUGGAUCUUUUGUGAUGGAUUUGAGUAAGAGCACAUAUGUUGGGACCCGAAAGAUGGUGAACUAUGCCUGAAUAGGGCGAAGCCAGAGGAAACUCUGGUGGAGGCUCGUAGCGAUUCUAACGUGCAGGUCGAUCGUCAAAUUUGGGUAUA
rnacentral:rRNA from 1 species